GAUGAACGCUGGCGGCGUGCUUAACACAUGCAAGUCGAACGAGAAGUGAAGACGGAAACCUUCGGGCGGAAGGCUUUAUUUCGAGUGGCGGACGGGUGAGUAACGCGUGGGUAACCUGCCUCAUACAGGGGGAUAACAGUUGGAAACGACUGUUAAUACCGCAUAAGACCACAGCACCGCAUGGUGCGGGGGUAAAAACUCCGGUGGUAUGAGAUGGACCCGCGUUCGAUUAGCCAGUUGGCGGGGUAACGGCCCACCAAAGCGACGAUCGAUAGCCGAUCUGAGAGGAUGACCGGCCACAAUGGGACUGAGACACGGCCCAAACUCCUACGGGAGGCAGCAGUGGGGAAUAUUGCACAAUGGGGGAAACCCUGAUGCAGCGACGCCGCGUGAGUGAAGAAGUAUUUCGGUAUGUAAAGCUCUAUCAGCAGGGAAGAAAAUGACGGUACCUGAGUAAGAAGCCCCGGCUAACUACGUG
rnacentral:rRNA from 1 species